CUUUGUUUCCAGAAAAUUCACCCAAGCCUAAGUAUCCACUGCAAGUCCACAUUGAAAAUAUUAGGACUUCUUUGAUGUUUACAGCUGAUAGUUACUGGAUAUAGCCAUUAGUUUUAGUGAGUCACUAUUUUAUUACUCCAGCUGGAAUUUUCAAAAGCUUAAGAUUUUAAGCUAUGUAAUUUGAGAUAACUCAUCAUUUUCCUCUUUUUUAUUGAGACAGUUAAAUUCCUUUUUGUGAAGAUGUUCAAGAAACAUUGCUUUGUCCAAAUGAGGAAUUCUAUUUUUUUUUUUUAAUUUUUUUGUGUGUGGUGCUGGAGAUCAAACCGAGGGCCUUGUGCAUGUGGGGCCAGCACUCUACCAACUGAGCUAUAUCCCCAGCCCCCCAAAUGAGGAAUUUUAUUCAGACUCAUUUCAGGAAAAACCUUACCUCACCUAAGAAACCAAUUUGCUCUUUCCUUCUAGACAAUGCAGAUCACCAGUUGAUUGUCUUCAGUUUUUUCUGUAGUUGUGAAAAAUUUCAGAUUAAAAUUGGACUUAAUUUGAAUAAUUUAUGUAGGACCCAGGGCCUGCCUCUCUGUAACUUCUUAUUUUUGAUCUUCUAUUUUUUCCCAGAUUCUUUUUUUUCCUUCUGUUUUGAUAAACUAUUUAAACUCUCCUGUUUAAGGCUGAGUAGUAGUGAUUUUUAAAAAUUACUUUGUUUCAGGGUAUGAUGAUAAGCCCCAAGGGAAUCUUAGGGAUAAGGAUCCAGUGAAAAGAGAUGCCUCCCCAACUGGAAUUCUUGAGGAAUGGGAAACAAUACUAAUUAUUUUUUGUUUUUUCCUUUGGUAUUGAGGAUUGACUCCCAGGGGCCACUGAGCUACAUCCUCAACCCUUUCUUUCUUUCUUUACUUAUUUAUUUUUUUUAAUUUUAUUUUGAGAGGGUCUUGAUUAAAUUGCUGGGGUCUCACAAAGUUACUGAGGCUGGCUUUCGUUAGGUUCAUGUAGGUUUUCAUUAUCCUCUUUUAGUUCAUAGUAAUUAAUAGUAACAGUGAAAUUGUCCUGUGUUUAGUUUUGAAGUAAGAAUGUGAAUAAUUGGAAAACUGUGAAACUAGCUUGGGAGAUGACAACUCUUAAAGGACAAAACAAAAUUGUGAUGAACGUACCUUUAAAAAAGGAAGUAGAGCCCGGUGUGGUGGUGCACGCCUGUAAUCCCAGUCGCUUGGGAGGCUGAGACGGGAGGAUCCUGUUCAAAGCCAGCCUCAGCAACUCAGUGAGAUCCUAUCUCUAAAUAAAAUACAAAAUAGGGCCCGGAAUGUGGCUCAGUGGUUGAGUGCCCCUGAGUUCAAUCCCUGGAACACCCAUCCCUGCCAAAAAAGGAAGUCAGCUGAGUUCCCAAAAGAACAGAACAGAAUGACUUAACCUCAGACUUGAAAGAUAAUUUUGGUCUUUAAUAGAACAUAAAAAAGUCAUUAAGUUUUUAGCACAGAAUAAGAUGAAAGUUUAAGGGAACACUUUUAAUUAGAGGCAGAAAAUCAUUUUUUUACUUUAUUAAAAUAUAGAAAUUUAUAAAUAAGCCAAAUAUAACAGGAACACCUAGUGAUGUAAUUUAUAGAAAAGAAUAUGAGGUGAUAACAAGAAUUCUGAAUUCAGUUUUUGGCUAAGCACUGGACUUUUGGAAGGAUGAAUCACAAUUCUUUAUUAUUUUGAGCCUUCAAUUUUGAGGAAUCUGGUCAGAAAAACUUGGUUAACUGGUCCUUAACAUUGUAAUUAUGAACCUUGAUUGGUGACAGGUUUUGUAGGAUUUGCACUUUGGUGUUUAUUUUUUAUUUUUGGUGGUAUGGGGACUGAACUGGGCCUUAGGUGUACUAGGCAAGUGCUCUAUCCACUGAGCUACAUCCCCAUUCCUUUUUAUUUUUUGAGACAGGGGCUUGUUAAAUUGCCCAAAAUGGCCUUGAAUUUUUGAUGCUUGUAAUUCCUAGUAGUUGGGAUCACAGGUGUGUACCACAGUGCCCGACUGGGUAUUUUAAUUAAAAAAAAAAAAAUCUUGGGAAAAGUAAUAAUAGAUUAUAGGGCUGGCAUGUAGUUCAGAGGUAGAGCAUUUGCAUAGCAUGUGCAAGGCCCUGGGUUUAAUCCUCAACCCAGCAGAGGAGGAUUAUUAUGAUCUAUUGUAUAAAUGGAAAUGGAAGAUUCCUGAAGAUUGAAUCAGGAAGAAAUAAAGGUCCAUAGGUUAUUCAUUGUUCCCUUUUCCACCUGGCUUCCCUCCCACCCCCUUUCCCAAGCUGAAAAAGCCAGCUACUUUCUCAGGUCAGGAGCAUAAAGUGUCCCCUUUCCUUUGAUUUCUGUCACCUCUCUAAUCUUGCAGCCGAUAGCUCAGUGUUUUGAGAAUGAAGAGAAUUCCUUUACCCUUUCAUCCAACCCCUGACACCACUCUUUCCCCAGGUUUACUGAUCUGAAUAAACUUUUAAAAUGAAAUACUUUUUGUUUGAACUAACAGCAUUAUUUUCCAACUUUUCCUCCAGUCCAACAAGGUCUAUAGGAGUUGGACUAUGGAAAAUGGAGAAAUAUAAGCCAACUACAGGUGAGAAUAAAUUUUGAUUUUAGUCUGAGUUUCUGAUUCUUUGUGCUCAGCAACUAACAUGAUGUAUAUUUCUUUUCUUUUGGAAUGGGGAUUGAACCCAGGGGUGCUUAACCACUGAGAAACAUCCCCAGUCCUUUUUAUUUUAUUUUGAGACAGGGUCUCACUAAAUUGCUGAGGCUGACUUUGAACUUUUAAUCCUUCUGCCUCAGCCUCCAGAGUUUCCGGGAUUACAGGCAUGAGUCACCUCUCCUAGCUAAUGUGACACAUAUUUCUGAUUGUAAAGUUCCUUUUAGUCUUUAAGACUAGUCAAUGAGAUUUUCAUAUAACAUCCUCUUUCUGUUUCCACUUCUAAUUGGCAUAAUUUGAUGUAGCGAUUAUUUCUUCAUUGUGAAAUGACAUAGUAAAAUGGAAAAACAACAUGCAUCUUGGAUCUUCAAAAAUUUCAAAUUAUGGAUCUUCAUUAUUAACCAUGUGGUUAAGGAACCUCUCUGAAUUUGAGAUUGUUUCCUAAAAAAAUAACAUCUCUUCCUGGGUAUGUUAUAGGACUAAAUUAGAUGAUGCAGACAUUUACAAAAGCAGAAGUUAUAUUAAAAAGUCUUUUGAGUUUUACUCUCGGUACAGAAUUCAACGGUUUUCCCAUAGGAUGUCUUUUUUAUUUUAUUAUAUUUUUAAGAGUCAAUUCAAAGGUAGAAAUGAGAAAAUGCUGAGCAGGAUCCCAAAUGUCUAGUGAUUUAGAGAAGACAUUUUAAAAAAAGAACCCGCACCCUUAAUUGAAUGCCCAUUAUAUAUCUAAUAUAUAAUAGCUAUAAAAAAUUCAAGGUUAAUGUUUUAAAUUUAAGAUUUUUGGGAUUUGGUUUAAUCCUGAAUUAUAGAAUUUUCCAGACCAUGGAGAUCUGUUUCCUAAUUUGAACAACAAAUAUUGCUACUAUUAAAUUCCAUUUCCUUCACUUAAAUCUUCUCUUUUUGGUAGGAUGAAGGAAGAUCAACAAGGAUAAAAAAUUUAGAUCUAGCCAGCCUGUGAUUAGAGAAUUAAGAGAUGAUCUUAAUUCUUUUUUGGGGGGUGGUGGUGGUGGUAAUUGAGGAUUGAACUCAGGGGCACUGUACCACUGAGCUAUAUCCCUAGCCCUUUUUAUUUUUUAUUUUGAAACAGAUCUUAGUUACCAAGGCUGAUCUUGAACCUUCAAUCCUCCUGCCUUAGCCUCUUGAGUAAGUGGGAUUACAGGUGUGUACCACUGAGUCCAGCAACAGACUGGUUUUAAAGAUGAAAAAUAGACUUAGGAAUACAUACACACAAUACUUAAAAUUAAUUUUAUGAAUACAGACAUACAAUUUGUGACUUCUGGAAAUGAUCAGAAUUUGGGACACCAGCCUGCACCUCACUCCUUACACUACAAGAAAACCAGAUGAACUAAUAUGUGGGUAAUAGAUCAUUUCUAGAUAGAUAGAUCAUUUCUAGAUAGAAUGCCCUAUGUACACUUUCCUCAAAAUUUCUUUUAUAAUUACAGGAUUAAAGGGAACCUAAAGGAUGAUACGGUCCAGAACUCUGAUGUGAAGUAAAUGAAUGAUUAUUCUUUUGGAUAUGCUCUUUCCACAAAUUGUUGCAGAAAUUAAAACUUCCUGGCCUUCCUUUGUGCCAUUUCAGUAUUUUAAUCUGGGUGCAUGGGAGUACAAAAGUUAUUCUUAAUUUUUUAUUAUAAGGUAGUUUCUUUACUGGAAUAGAGAACAAUUGCAGUUUGCAUCUUUUAAACAUUCUUUGAGUACUCUUACUCUGAUUUCUUGGUAUAUCCUCAACUCCAUAAAUUUUUCAUUCUUAUCAAUGCUUUUAUUACUAUUCUCUGUACUUCAUUAAGUUUAUCUUCAUUUCUCUAAGAAUUGUAAGGUAUAGUGGAAAGAUUUAUUAUUAUUGUUUUAACCAACCUGUCUCCCCUCUGAGGGAAGUACACUCCUUUAUUUCUGAAUACUGUGCAUCUGAGCCCCUUGUCUGGCAUGAAGAAAAUAUU
rnacentral:lncRNA from 1 species